rnacentral:rRNA from 1 species
AGAAUAGGAGUUCAGUGUACCGGAUUUAUGAGUUUAAAGGGUGCGUAGGUGGUCUAAUAAGUCAGUGGUGAAUCUCUUUGCUUAACAAGGAAAUUGCCAUUGAAACUGUUAGACUUGAGAAUGGACGAGGUAGGCUGAAUUCGUAGUGUAGCGGUGAAAUGCAUAGAUAUUACGAAGAACUCCAAUAGUGUAGACUGCUUACCAGACCAUAUCUGACACUAAGGCACGAAAGUGUGGGUAUCAAACAGGAUUAGAUACCCUGGUAGUCCACACAGUAAACGAUGAAUACUAACUGUUUGCGAUAUACAGCAAGUGGUCGAGCGAAAGCGUUAAGUAUUCCACCUGGGAAGUAUGCCGGCAACGGUGAAACUCAAAGGAAUUGACGGGGGCCCGCACAAGCGGAGGAACAUGUGGUUUAAUUCGAUAAUACGCGAGGAACCUUACCCGGGCUCGAACGAUAUUUGAAUACAUCCGAAAAGAUGUAGCUAGCAAUAGCAAAUACCGAGGUGCUGCAUGGUUGUCGUCAGCUCGUGCCGUGAGGUGUCGACUUAAGUGUCAUAACGAGCGCAACCCUUACCGAUAGUUACCAUCAGAUAAUGCUGGGGACUCUAUUGGGACUGCCACCGUAAGGUGUGAGGAAGGAGAGGAUGACGUCAAAUCAGCACGGCCCUUAUGUCCGGGGCGACACACGUGUUACAAUGGGAGAAACAAAGGGUCGCUACCUGGCGACAGGAUGCUAAUCUCGAAAAUCUCUCUCAGUUCGGAUUGGAGUCUGCAACUCGACUCCAUGAAGCUGGAUUCGCUAGUAAUCGCACAUCUGCCAUGGUGCGGUGAAUACGUUCCCGGGCCUUGUACACACCGCCCGUCAAGCCAUGGAAGCUGGAAGUACCUGAAGUAUGUAACUGAAAAGAGCGUCCU